rnacentral:rRNA from 1 species
CCUACGGGUGGCAGCAGUGGGGAAUAUUGGACAAUGGGCGAAAGCCUGAUCCAGCCAUGCCGCGUGUGUGAAGAAGGCCUUCGGGUUGUAAAGCACUUUCAGUGGGGAAGAAAGCCUUGGGGCUAAUACCCUCGAGGAAGGACAUCACCCACAGAAGAAGCACCGGCUAACUCCGUGCCAGCAGCCGCGGUAAUACGGAGGGGUGCGAGCGUUAAUCGGAAUUACUGGGCGUAAAGCGCGCGUAGGCGGUCUGAUAAGCCGGUUGUGAAAGCCCCGGGCUCAACCUGGGAACGGCAUCCGGAACUGUCAGGCUAGAGUGCAGGAGAGGAAGGUAGAAUUCCCGGUGUAGCGGUGAAAUGCGUAGAGAUCGGGAGGAAUACCAGUGGCGAAGGCGGCCUUCUGGACUGACACUGACGCUGAGGUGCGAAAGCGUGGGUAGCAAACAGGAUUAGAUACCCCUGUAGUC